UAAUACAUGCAAGUCGAACGCACAUCUCGUUUAGAUUGAAGGAGCUUGCUCCUUGAUUGAUAAACAUUUGAGUGAGUGGCGGACGGGUGAGUAACACGUGGGUAACCUGCCCUAAAGUGGGGGAUAACAUUUGGAAACAGAUGCUAAUACCGCAUAAAACCUAACACCGCAUGGUGUAGGGUUGAAAGAUGGUUUCGGCUAUCACUUUAGGAUGGACCCGCGGUGCAUUAGUUAGUUGGUGAGGUAAAGGCUCACCAAGACCGUGAUGCAUAGCCGACCUGAGAGGGUAAUCGGCCACACUGGGACUGAGACACGGCCCAGACUCCUACGGGAGGCAGCAGUAGGGAAUCUUCCACAAUGGACGAAAGUCUGAUGGAGCAACGCCGCGUGAGUGAAGAAGGUUUUCGGAUCGUAAAACUCUGUUGUUGGAGAAGAAUGUAUCUGAUAGUAACUGAUCAGGUAGUGACGGUAUCCAACCAGAAAGCCACGGCUAACUACGUNCAANCAGCCA
rnacentral:rRNA from 2 species